rnacentral:rRNA from 1 species
UACGUAGGGUGCGAGCGUUGUCCGGAAUUAUUGGGCGUAAAGGGUUCGUAGGCGGUGCGGCAAGUCGGGAGUGAAAUCUCUGGGCUUAACCCAGAGGCUGCUUCCGAAACUGCUGUGCUUGAGUGUGGGAGAGGCGCGUGGAAUUGCAGGUGUAGCGGUGAAAUGCGUAGAUAUCUGCAGGAACACCCGUGGCGAAAGCGGCGCGCUGGACCACUACUGACGCUGAGGAACGAAAGCUAGGGGAGCAAACAGG